CAUGUGUGGAUUUUAAUUUACAGUUUUUGUUGAUCAUGUUUUGGACUUGAUUCUCUGCAGCCAAAGACUGUCCCUGGGAGAGUUUUUAUCCAGCCAGAAGGUAAGCAGAACAAUGGAGGCAAAGUUGGAGCUGAUAAAAGGACUUGUUCUGAUUAUCUGAUUGGGUUGCCUU